CCACAUCACGUUGAAACACCGGCUCCCGUACAAUCACUAAAGUUAAGCAAUGUUGAGCCUGGUCAGUACCUAGAUGGGUGACCACUUGGGGAUAACUGGUGCU